UAUGCAGGCGGUUUCGUAAGUCUGGUGUAUAAUCCCUCAGCUUAACUGAGGAUCUGCGCUGGAAACUGUGAGACUAGAGUACAGGAAGGGGAGUUGGAAUUCCAGGUGUAGGGGUGAAAUCUGUAGAUAUCUGGAAGAACAUCAGUGGCGAAGGCGAACUCCUGGCCAUGUACUGACGCUGAGAUACGAAAGCGUGGGGAGCAAACAGGAUUAGAUACCCUGGUAGUCCACGCUGUAAACGAUGUGCACUAGGUGUUGGGGUCUUCGAUCUCAGUGCCGUAGCUAACGCGUUAAGUGCACCGCCUGGGGAGUAUGCUCGCAAGGGUGAA
rnacentral:rRNA from 1 species